rnacentral:rRNA from 1 species
CCUACGGGGGGCAGCAGUGGGGAAUAUUGCGCAAUGCUCGAAAGAGUGAUGCAGCGACGCCGCGUGAAUGACGAAGGCCUUCGGGUUGUAAAGUUCUUUCGUCAGGGAAGAAAAUGCCCAUAAGUAACUGAUUAUGUACUGACGGUACCUGUAUAAGCAGCCCUGGCUAACUACGUGCCAGCAGCCGCGGUAAUACGGAGGGGGCGCGCGUUUUCCGGAGUGACUGGGCGUAAAGGGCACGUAGGCGGUGUUGUAAGUCAUUAGUCAAAUGCUAGGGCUCAACUUCAGUAAGGCUAGUGAUACUAUCAUACUAGAGUAUCAGAGAGGAAAGCAGAAUUCCUAGUGUAGCGGUGAAAUGCGUAGAUAUCAGGAGGAAUACCAUUGGCGAAGGCGGCAAACUGGCUGGAAACUGACGCUGAGGUGCGAAAGCGUGGGUAGCAAACAGGAUUAGAUACCCCAGUAGUC